rnacentral:rRNA from 1 species
AUGAACGCUGGCGGCGUGCCUAAUACAUGCCAGUCGAGCGAACAGACGAGGAGCUUGCUCCUCUGACGUUAGCGGCGGACGGGUGAGUAACACGUGGAUAACCUACCUAUAAGACUGGGAUAACUUCGGGAAACCGGAGCUAAUACCGGAUAAUAUAUUGAACCGCAUGGUUCAAUAGUGAAAGACGGUUUUGCUGUCACUUAUAGAUGGAUCCGCGCCGCAUUAGCUAGUUGGUAAGGUAACGGCUUACCAAGGCAACGAUGCGUAGCCGACCUGAGAGGGUGAUCGGCCACACUGGAACUGAGACACGGUCCAGACUCCUACGGGAGGCAGCAGUAGGGAAUCGUCCGCAAUGGGCGAAAGCCUGACGGAGCAACGCCGCGUGAGUGAUGAAGGUCUUCGGAUCGUAAAACUCUGUUAUUAGGGAAGAACAAAUGUGUAAGUAACUAUGCACGUCUUGACGGUACCUAAUCAGAAAGCCACGGCUAACUACGUG